rnacentral:rRNA from 1 species
GAUGAACGCUGGCGGCGUGCUUAACACAUGCAAGUCGAACGGGAAUUACUUUAUUGAAUCUUCGGUCGAUUUAAUUUAAUUCUAGUGGCGGACGGGUGAGUAACGCGUGGGUAACCUGCCUUAUACAGGGGGAUAACAGUCAGAAAUGGCUGCUAAUACCGCAUAAGCGCACAGAGCUGCAUGUCUCGGUGUGAAAAACUCCGGUGGUAUAGGAUGGACCCGCGUUGGAUUAGCUUGUUGGUGGGGUAACGGCCCACCAAGGCGUCGAUCCAUAGCCGGCCUGAGAGGGUGAACGGCCACAUUGGGACUGAGACACGGCCCAGACUCCUACGGGAGGCAGCAGUGGGGAAUAUUGCACAAUGGGGGAAACCCUGAUGCAGCGACGCCGCGUGAAGGAAGAAGUAUCUCGGUAUGUAAACUUCUAUCAGCAGGGAAGAUAGUGACGGUACCUGACGAAGAAGCCCCGGCUAACUACGUG